rnacentral:rRNA from 1 species
UACGAAGGUGGCAAGCGUUGUUCGGAAUUACUGGGCGUAAAGGGCGCGUAGGCGGCUUAUCAAGUCAGGCGUGAAAUUCCCGGGCUCAACCUGGGGGCUGCGCUUGAUACUGAUGAGCUUGAAUGCGGGAGAGGAUAGUGGAAUUCCCAGUGUAGAGGUGAAAUUCGUAGAUAUUGGGAAGAACACCGGUGGCGAAGGCGGCUAUCUGGCCCGUAAUUGACGCUGAGGCGCGAAAGCGUGGGGAGCAAACAGG